GUUAACAUAGUUUAAUAAAAACAUUAG
rnacentral:tRNA from 1 species